ensembl:rRNA 5S_rRNA 5S ribosomal RNA
CUCUACAGCCAUCCCACUCUGAACACGCCUGAUCUUGUCUGAUCUUGGAAGCUAAGCAGGGUCGGGCUAGUUAGUGCUUGGAUGGGAGAACCAUGUUCCCAAAUAAACAAGAAGCUACAUAAA